rnacentral:rRNA from 1 species
AACGAACGCUGGCGGCGUGCCUUAAGCAUGCAAGUCGUACGGGGUAUGGCUAAAGUCAUACCUAGUGGCGAACGGGUGAGUAACACGUAGUUAGGCAACCUAGAGACGGGGAUAGCCACGGGAGACCGUGGGUAAUACCCGAUAGUCCCUAAGGGGUAAAGGGAGCGAUCCGCUUUAGGAGCUGACUGCGGCCCAUCAGGUAGUUGGUGGGGUAAAGGCCUACCAAGCCUAUGACGGGUAGCCGGCCUGAGAGGGUGUACGGCCACACUGGGACUGAGACACGGCCCAGACUCCUACGGGAGGCAGCAGCUAGGAAUUUUCCGCAAUGGGCGAAAGCCUGACGGAGCGACGCCGCGUGGGGGAAGAAGGUCCUACGGGAUUGUAAACCUCUUUUCUGCGGGAGGAGAAAGGACUGUACCGCAGGAAUAAGUCCCGGCAAACUACGUGCCAGCAGCCGCGGUAAUACGUAGGGGGCUAGCGUUGUUCGGAAUCACUGGGUCUAAAGGGUGCGUAGGCGGGCUAUCAAGCAAGGGGUGAAAGUCCUUAGCUUAACUAAGGGAUUGCCUUUUGGACUGAUAGUCUGGAGUGCAGGAGGGGAGAGCAGAAUUCCCGGUGUAGGGGUGAAAUCUAUAGAUAUCGGGAAGAAUACCGGUCGCGAAGGCGGCUCUCUGGACUGCAACUGACGCUGAGGCACGAAAGCGUGGGGAGCGAACCGGAUUAGAUACCCGGGUAGUCCACGCUGUAAACGUUGCACACUUGAUGGUUGGCUCGAUUAGGGCUGGCUGUCGGAGCGAAGGUAUUAAGUGUGCCACCUGGGGAGUAUGGUCGCAAGGCUGAAACUCAAAGGAAUUGACGGGGGCCCGCACAAGCGGUGGAGCAUGUGGUUUAAUUCGAUGCUAAGCGAAGAACCUUACCAGGGUUCAAUCCUGCUGGACGGUGGUGGAAACACUACUUCCCUUCGGGGCUGGCAGGACGGUGCUGCAUGGCUGUCGUCAGCUCGUGCCGUGAGGUGUUGGGUUAAGUCCCGCAACGAGCGUAACCCCUGCUCAUAGUUGCCAACAGUUAGGCUGGGCACUCUAUGGGGACUGCCGGCGACAAGCCGGAGGAAGGUGGGGAUGACGUCAAGUCAUCAUGGCCUUUAUGCCCUGGGCUACACACAUGCUACAAUGGCUGGUACAAAGGGUAUGCGAAGCGGUGACGUGGAGCCAAUCCCAAAAAGCCAGCCUCAGUUCGGAUUGCAGGCUGAAACCCGCCUGCAUGAAGUCGGAAUCGCUAGUAAUCGCAGGUCAGCCACACUGCGGUGAAUACGUUCUCGGGCCUUGUACACACCGCCCGUCACACCACCCGAGUUGGCUUGUCCCGAAGCCUCUUAACAAGGGGUGAAGGAUGAGCUGGUGAGGGGGGUG